GAAGCACAGCACUCACCAUGUGCCCUGUGAUGAGUCUGGGUGGCCCUGCAGGGUUCUGACCUGGGUUGGGUCAGGAGCCAGAGGAGGAGGAGGAGCCUGAGGCUCCAGAUGCCCUGUGUAUAACAAGCCUGCUUCCAGGGAAGGCCUGGGGCUUCCGGAGUUGGAGGCUGUUGUUCUGGGUGCGGCUGUUGUUGUUGCUGCUCUUGCUGGGGUUGUUCUUUGAAAGACCACAUCUGCUGCAGAGGGUUCAGAGCUCAAGAAGCUACAAAACCCAGGGAGCCAGCAGGUGGCGCCCGGCGACCGUAAUGGCCCCGCGCAGCUGGCAUUUCUGGUGCCUGCACCUGGGUCCCCUGGAGCCGCCUAGGGAGCAUAGGCUCCCCAGCCCAGGGCCCUAGUGGCAGCGCCCUCCCGGCUCUGACCAGCACUUUGUUUCUUGGUGCCUCAGUUUCAUCAUCUCCACAGUGGGGAGACUGACAUUCAUUCAUUGUCACGGGUGGAUGGGGUAAAAGUGUUAAUGUCUGUGCCGUUGUCAUAUAGGUCAGCGUUAGUUUUAGUCACCAGUUUUUGCUUUUUAAUUUUAUCCAUAGUUACUAUAUUGCACACGUUAUAUUUUUAUUAAUUAAUGUUAUGUUAUUAUGUUAGUUGGUCUCUUUCCAAGGAGUCUUAAUUUUAGUUUUCCUGGACCCUUGCUGUUCCCUCACUCCCUGUCACACAUUACUCAAAGUCCACAUAAUUUUAUGGAAUAAAUUUUAUGGUAUAAAUG
rnacentral:lncRNA from 1 species